rnacentral:rRNA from 1 species
GACGAACGCUGGCGGCGUGCCUAAUACAUGCAAGUCGAACGCAGUGGGGAUGGGUGAGUAACACGUGGGCAAUCUCCCAUCAGAGGGGAUAACACUUGGAAACAGGUGCUAAACCGAUACUGAUGGAUGGACCCGCGGUGCAUUAGCUGGUUGGUGAGGUAACGGCUCACCAAGGCCACGAAGCAGAGCGGACCUGGGAGGGUGACCGGCCACACUGGAACUGGGACACGGCCCAGACCCCACGGGGAGGAAGCGGGGGGGAGUCUUCGGCAAGGGAGGAAGGCUGGACGGGGCAAGGCGGCGGAGUUAAGGAGGGUUUUGGGUUCUUAAGACUCUUUUGUUAGGGAGACGGUAUCUGAACAGAAAGCCACGGCUAACUACGUGCCAGCAGCCGCGGUAAUUC